CGCGAAGGCGCCCAGUUGUAGCCAAGUCUUGACAGAAGAAAGUUGGAUUGAAAGUUUAAGAAGAAUUCACAAAAACUCGAAAGAACUUAUACAAGAAUUUAUCAAGACAUUGCUCUCAAAGUACGUAUAUAAAGGUAUUUUAGAGUAAGCGUUCAACUAAAUGCACUUAUCUAGACAUUUCAAUACAUUUUGUUGAAAUUUAAUGGAACACAUUAGCAUAGCCGGUCGCCGGUUUUGCUUCAAAUUUUAGCGAUAAAUCGCAUCAAUUGUGCUUCAAUAAUGACUUUUAAUAUUUCCAGGUAACUCCCGUUUGUAUUUUCUUUCGCUUUAGAACGAAUUUGGGCGAGAAAAAGAAGGAAAUUUUGACGAUUCCUAGCCACGUGUUUAGGUACAUAUCGACAGUGAAUAUUUUAAUAAGUGAACUUGUUUGUGCGAUUUUAUUGCGUUUAAUGUUGAGCUAAAACGUUUAAUGUUGAGUUAAAACUUUGUGUGUAAACGUAAAGCAUCCGAAGCUCCCGAAAUCCUGUCUCCUUCGAAGAAUUUUCAUCAAAUAUUGCCCAAGAAAAGGGUGCCGCGCUGAACGCGUAUUCAAAAUUGCUCACUUUAAAAUUCAUUGCAGCAAAGAACAUUUGCCAUUUGGGAAUACAAUUUAAGUUCUUUCAGUUUCAUUUUGAAGCAACAAAAUAUUCACUGGUUUGCUCCAAAUUUUAGCGAUAAAUCCCAUCAAUUGUGCUUCAUAAUGACUUUUAAUAUUUCCAGGUAACUCAAGUUUGUAUUUUUCUUUCGCUCUAGAACGAAUUUGGGCGAGAAAAAGCAGGAAAUUUUGACGAUUCCUAGCCACGUCCUUGGGU
rnacentral:lncRNA from 1 species